AUUGAACGCUGGCGGCAGGCUUAACACAUGCAAGUCGAGCGGGGUGAUGGUGCUUGCACUAUCACUUAGCGGCGGACGGGUGAGUAAUGCUUAGGAAUCUGCCUAUUAGUGGGGGACAACAUCUCGAAAGGGAUGCUAAUACCGCAUACGUCCUACGGGAGAAAGCAGGGGAUCACUUGUGACCUUGCGCUAAUAGAUGAGCCUAAGUCGGAUUAGCUAGUUGGUGGGGUAAAGGCCUACCAAGGCGACGUUCUGUAGCGGGUCUGAGAGGAUGAUCCGCCACACUGGGACUGAGACACGGCCCAGACUCCUACGGGAGGCAGCAGUGGGGAAUAUUGGACAAUGGGGGGAACCCUGAUCCAGCCAUGCCGCGUGUGUGAAGAAGGCCUUAUGGUUGUAAAGCACUUUAAGCGGGGAGGAGGCUCUUUUGGUUAAUACCCAAGAUGAGUGGACGUUACUCGCAGAAUAAGCACCGGCUAACUCUGUGCCAGCCGCCGCAGUAA
rnacentral:rRNA from 1 species